rnacentral:rRNA from 1 species
UGGGGAAUAUUGGACAAUGGGGGAAACCCUGAUCCAGCGAUGCCGCGUGAAUGAAGAAGGCCUUAGGGUUGUAAAGUUCUUUCACCUGUGACGAUGAUGACGGUAGCAGGAGAAGAAGCCCCGGCUAACUCCGUGCCAGCAGCCGCGGUAAUACGGAGGGGGCUAGCGUUGUUCGGAAUAACUGGGCGUAAAGGGCGCGUAGGCGGUUUAAUAAGUUAGGCGUGAAAGCCCCGGGCUUAACCUGGGAUGUGCGUUUAAGACUGUUAAGCUAGAGUGCGAGAGAGGAAAGUGGAAUUCCUAGUGUAGAGGUGAAAUUCGUAGAUAUUAGGAAGAACACCAGUGGCGAAGGCGACUUUCUGGCUCGCAACUGACGCUGAGGCGCGAAAGCGUGGGGAGCAAACAGG